rnacentral:rRNA from 1 species
UGUUGGUUUCUCCCUUCUGACGAACCAUGAUGUCAUUUAUUUGGUGUUGUGGGGAAUCAGGACUGUUACUUUGAAAAAAUUAGAGUGUUUAAAGCAGGCUCACGCUUGAAUACAUUAGCAUGGAAUAAUGAAAUAGGACGUUUGAUUCUAUUUUGUUGGUUUCUAGGAUCGACGUAAUGAUUAAUAGGGAUAGUUGGGGGCAUUAGUAUUCAAUUGUCAGAGGUGAAAUUCUUGGAUUUAUUGAAGACUAACUACUGCGAAAGCAUUUGCCAAGGAUGUUUUCAUUAAUCAAGAACGAAAGUUAGGGGAUCGAAGACGAUCAGAUACCGUCGUAGUCUUAACCAUAAACUAUGCCGACUAGGGAUCGGAUGAUGUUAAUUUUUUAAUGACUCAUUCGGCGCCUUACG